CCUACGGGUGGCUGCAGUGGGGAAUAUUGGGCAAUGGACGCAAGUCUGACGCAGCAACGCCGCGUGAAGGAAGAAGGCUUUCGGGUUGUAAACUUCUUUUAAGGGGGAAGAGCAGAAGACGGUACCCCUUGAAUAAGCCACGGCUAACUACGUGACAGCAGCCGCGGUACUACGUAGGUGGCAAGCGUUGCCCGGAUUUACUGGGGGUAAAGGGCGUGCAGCCGGAGUGACAAGUCAGAUGUGAAAUCCACGGGCUCAACCCGGGAACUGCAUUUGAAACUGUUUCCCUUGAGUGUGGGAGAGGUAAGCGGAAUUCCUUGUGUAGCGGUGAAAUGCGUAGAUAUUAGGAGGAACACCAGUGGCGAAGGCGGUCUGCUGGACAGCAACUGACGCUGAGGCUCGAAAGCGUGGGGAGCAAACAGGAUUAGAUACCCUAGUAGUC
rnacentral:rRNA from 1 species